CCCACUUAAAAAUUGUAAAAAAUGGCCGGUCACAAUUCACACCACACCUUCAAUCCUCUCUCUCUCCCUCCCUCCGGAUCUCCCUCUCCCUCUCGCCACCCGUCCGCCGCCCGUCCGCCGCGCCGCGCGGCCACUCAAUCUCCGGCAGCACCGCACAGCCACCACCACCGCGACGCACAUCACCUCUUUCUCAUCUCCUCCGGCGACCACAACUCCUGCUACAGCCGCCGCCCUCAACAACUCUCCCUCUCUGCUCGAGCUCCGGCGCCUGAGCCCUAGCUCCCCCAAUCCAGUCGCCCUCACCCCUACCCUUAUCUCUCUCUGGCGAAGAGAAGCCAGAUCCGCCGGCCAUCCAGAUUCAGGCAGAUCUCUCUCGAUCUCUCUCUCAAUUCGACACAACACUCUCUUCUCCUUCAGGUCCUGAUCGAAAUCCGACGGAUCGACGUGGCCAAACUCGGUGCGGAUCUUGAGGAUUAAGAUCUCCGUGGCAGAAGUGGCGGUCCUCCUGGACGCAGACGUCAAGGCAGAGCGCGCCGACGGCGAGCUAGUCAUAGAUAGAGAGGUUUUGGCACUAGGCGAAGGGGAGUUCCAGACCUCCGAUUUGGCACGCGGUGGUCUCUCUCUCUCCACUCUCUUCUCUCUCUUUCGAUCUGCCAGAUUUGGAGGAUAUGUAGGAUUCAACAGAUUUGUUUUAUUUAGUUAAUGAGAUAGAUUUGCGCAUGGUUAUGAUUGGUUGUGAGGAAUUGAUAUAAAUUGUGAAUAAUUGAUUUGUGAGGAAUUGAUNUACAUGAAAAAAAAUAUUCAAUGUGCAUAUUAAAUUUAAGUUCUAACAAGAUAUAUCUUCGAGUUAAUAUAUAAAAGUAUCCACUUUCAUAUUGUAAAAUUAAAAUCUAGCCUAUGAAAUAAAAACAUUAAAAUAUGGCUAGUUUUUAUGUAAAAGUACAAAAUUACCCCCCACUUAAAAAUUGUAAAAAAUGGCCGGUCACAAUUCACACCACACCUUCAAUUCUCUCUCUCUAUCCCUCUACGGCUCUNCCUCUCCCUCUCGCCACUCAUCCGCCGCGCUGCGCGGCCACUCAAUCUCCGGCAGCACCGCACAGCCACCACCACCGCGACGCACAACACCUCUUUCUCAUCUCCUCCGGCGACCACAACUCCUGCUACAGCCGCCGCCCUCAACAACUCUCCCUCUCUGCUCGAGCUCCGGCGCCUGAGCCCUAGCUCCCCCAAAUCCAGUCGCCCUUACCCUUAUCUCUCUCCGGCGAAGAGAAGCCAGAUCCGCCGGCCAUCCAGACUCUCUC
rnacentral:lncRNA from 1 species